GUGUUGGUCAGUUUCCAGUUUUCUAUAUAGUGUUUAUCGUAAUUUUUUCGUUUUUAUUCAUGGUGUUGUCAGUUUCUAUACAAUUUGAGGGUUUUGAAUUGCAAAACGUAAGUUUGGAACUAAUUUCGUUUUUUUUCAAAAAUUGAAAGGGGAUUUGAAUUAUAGUAUUCAUGAAGACUCUGCAUUAAAUUAUGAAAAUCAGACGAGGCCAUCUUGACUUGUGGUACGACAUAGAAGUGCAGCCAAAACGGACAGACAAACAUAUAACUGUCAGACAAACAUAUAAAUUACUAAACGUACACCAUCGACUAGUUUCAGCGGAACCCUUGUUAAAACGAAAUUUACAAAGACGAAGUUGUUGUAUGGUUGUCUUUCUGUCUAUGUUUAUCGAAACUUACACGUGUGAAGUUUUUUUGGUUUAUUUUCGACGAAGGUUUUGUGUUUAAUACCGUACAGCCAUGUAGGUUUUGUUUGCAAUGUUGCAUGUAGUGUUGAAGACAUAUCAAGAAUAAAAAGCUGCGCCAUGAGCGCAUGAUACGCCCGACGUCUUAUGUGGAAGUCUAAUGCAAUAAUCAUAAAUAGUCUCUGAGAAAAUUUUAAGCAAUAACCAUAUAUUGUUUUAGAGACACGGCGGGACAUGUGAAACCCCCCACCCUUUUUUUUUUUUUUUUACAAAAAACUAAAUAUUACCAAAAUAAAAUUUUGAAUCAAAACCAAAAAGUAUACAGAUCUUUAGAUUAGUAUAACAAGGAAGUG
rnacentral:lncRNA from 1 species